GUAUAGGGAUCAGCUUGCUACUAAGGAAAUUAGAUUUCCUGUUGAGGAAUACAAGCUUCUGUAAACUUCAUUUAAGCUUGCAAAGCCUGUGCCAUCAAGACUCUUCUGAAGUUUCUGCCGGCCCUGAUUCUGCAAUCCAAGACCUCAACAGGAAAUCUAAAGGUGGGAGUCUAUUGAAUAACAAAGACCAGAAUUCAAUCUGUGAAAAGAAUGAGCUGGGAAUGAGAAAUGAAAUUGAUUUGGUCCACUCCUCGCUAUAUUUCAAAUGCUGUCCAUCAAACAUGCCUGAGAGGAGCUGUAAGAUCUUCCUGGUUGCUGCCGCCGCAGAGAACUCAUGGGCAACACACCGCGAGCAAAAGUGAGCUUUG
ensembl:lncRNA